CUUUUUCUUUUCUAUUUUAUCCAUUUAUUCUUCAGUUCUUUUGUUUUGUUUUGUUCUUCUUUUUCAGACUUACUUUGCACCCAGUAUUUUUUUAGUGCCCCGCUUCAUCUCCAGUACUGACUUCUCAAGUACAGCUCUUAGUCAUUACUUUAGUAGUUGCCUUUGGAGAUUGAUGUCAGAUGUUACCUUUCCUUUUUGUGCCAUUGUUUCCUCUGGGGACCCAUCACAAAGGAAAGAAAACCGUGUGACUACAAACUUGGCCCAGUACUUCUCAACAUGCAUUGUCAUCACAUUUAUUAACCUGAACACCUGCAAUCCUUGAACAACAUUUCUUUAGAUGGUAUGAUCAAAGUAAAACCAGCAUUGUAUGAACAAAAGUAAGUUUUGAAGACACUAAUAGGAUAUAUACUUUCUAUGUUAACUGUAUAUACAAUCCUUUUCUUUGAAAACAAGAAGUUAGAGUAAACUUUAUUGUUGCAGAACAAAAUAAUCAGCUUUAAAAAUUUAGU
rnacentral:lncRNA from 1 species